rnacentral:lncRNA from 1 species
AGUACAUAAACGCCUACGUCAGAAUCUGGAGUCAGCUGGAGUGUGCCAGCAGCAAGAUGGCCCUUACCAGAUGCUGGCACCUUGAUAUUUGACUUCCCAGCCUCCAGAACUAUUCAUUAAUGAUGUCAGAAGUGUAAAACUAAAGGCAGAAGACUGUUGUUUUCAAGAUUGCUCCCCAACUAGGCUUGGCGACCCUUGAAGGCAGAGGACCUUUCUGAGUUAUCUUUGUACCCUGCAUAGUCCUGGCACAAAAUAGCACCUAAGUC